CACGUAGGGGCCAAGCGUUGUCCGGAUUUAUUGGGCGUAAAGAGCUCGUAGGCGGUUGGGUAAGUCGGGUGUGAAAACUCCAGGCUCAACUUGGAGACGCCACCCGGUACUGCUCUGACUUGAGUUCGGUAGGGGAGUGGGGAAUUCCUGGUGUAGCGGUGAAAUGCGCAGAUAUCAGGAGGAACACCGGUGGCGAAGGCGGUUCUCUGGGCCUUACCUGACACUGAGGAGCGAAAGCGUGGGGAGCGAACAGG
rnacentral:rRNA from 1 species